rnacentral:rRNA from 1 species
GUCGAGAAUAAUUCACAAUGGACGAAAGUCUGAUGGUGCAACGCCGCGUGGAGGAUGAAGGUCUUCGGAUUGUAAACUCCUGUCAUCGGGGAGUAAGACCUGGCGGUAAAUAGCCGACAGGGUUGAUAGUACCCGAAGAGGAAGGGACGGCUAACUUCGUGCCAGCAGCCGCGGUAAUACGAAGGUCCCAAGCGUUGUUCGGAAUCACUGGGCGUAAAGGGAGCGUAGGCGGCGUGGUAAGUCAGAUGUGAAAUCCCGGGGCUCAACCCCGGAACUGCACCCGAUACUGCCGUGCUAGAGGGUUGGAGAGGUGACUGGAAUUCUCGGUGUAGCAGUGAAAUGCGUGGAUAUCGAGAGGAACACUCGUGGCGAAGGCGAGUCACUGGACAACAUCUGACGCUGAGGCUCGAAGGCCAGGGGAGCAAAAGGGAUUAGAAACCCGUGUAGUCC